UCACUACAGGAAAAAGGAGAUAUGGUGACGUUUUUUUAACGACGUUUUUUUAAACGUCACUGUUAUUAAUAUUUAACGGCGUUUUAUAAACGCCGCAUAUUUUUUUAAAAUAAAACUACGUCGUUUUAUAAUCGGAGGCGUUUGGAAACGCCUCCAAAUGCGGUAGCCACACGCGCUUUUUUUUAAGCACAUUUUGAAUCUGAGCCCUUCUCUCUCUCUCUCUCUCUCUCUCUCUCUCUCUCAACCCUUAUACGCACACAUCUCUCUCAACCCUCAUCGAAGCUCCAGAUCGAAGCUUCAUUUUUAAAUCUGAGCCCUUUCUCUUUCUCAACCCUUAUACGCACACAUCUCUCUCUCAACCCUCUCUAAGCUCCAUCGAAGCUCCAGAUCGAAGCUCCAUUUUAAAAUCUGAGCCCUUUCUCUCUCUCAACCCUUAUACGCACACAUCUCUCUCUCUCUCUCAACCCUCUCUUAUCUCCAUCGAAGAUUCAGAUUGAAGCUCCAUCGAAGCGAUUUCGAAGCUCCAUCGAAGAUUCAGAUCUAAACUCCAACGAAGAUUCCGAUCGAAGCGAUUUUGAAGCUCCAUCGACAACACCAUCUGCACUGGCAAGAGAUUCAGAGAAUCAGUGGUUUCCAGAAGCUCAGAUCUGAACUUUAAUCUAUCAGCCACAAAUUUGGAGCGUUAUUUACAGAUUUCAAUUUACAGGGAAUGGUACUUCUGACAAUGUCAGUGUCAAUUAAAUUUUGGAAACCAACAUGCACAAAUGGGGUAUGCAAGGCCUCAUCAUCCCAAACAGUACUCAGCUCUUUACAUCAUAGCAGUUGGUGCUGGUGGAACAAAACCCAACAUCUCCACCUUUGGUGCAGACCA